AUGAUUUUACCCACUCCUCUCCUGAAAUCGAUUGUACAGCCAGAUCCCUUCAGCCAAGAAUGCGGACCUGUCAAAUCUCAGGCACCGAGCAGGAGACACGCAAUCUGCUCUGACCCUCUGCUCCCUUCCAGCACGGCCCCUGUCUCUCGCCUUCACCCCUGCUCCAUGACCCCGGGUGCCAGACACGGCCCCAUUUCUCUUUGGCCAAGCACCCAUGCCUGGUGCUGGGGGUGGGGGUGGCUGGAGAGCUGCUGGGGGCCCGCUCCCUGCUGCCAGAGGAUGCUCAGUGCUCAGAUCCUUUAUGGCCAUAGCUCUCUCUGGUAUCCUUUCCCUCCUGGCAUGUCCCGCAAGAAUCUCUCCUUGCUGUAUAACUGAAUGCAAUGUGGCCCCAGUGCUGGAGAAACCUGAGAUUGCUCCUCCACUUCAUGGGCACUUGCAUCCUGGCUUGCACAGGGUAUCCCAGAAGAAUGCAGCUGUCUCAGCCCAGGAUCAUUUUUGUAAAACAGGAGAGAAGAUAGACUUCCCCUUGCUUUUCCUGAUUUAUUUAUUCGUUGCAUAAUGGCUUGUCCACAAACAUCCCAGCUUGGUUAAAUCUUUGACAUGUAAAACAUUUCCAGAAAUUCUUGCUGCCAUCCAGCAAGAAAAAUGGGUAGGACUUGGCUUUUUUCUCCCUUCUCUCUCCCUCUUGAAAGAAAAAAAAGAAAAAGGAAAGAAAAGAAAAGAAAAAAAAAAAAAACAACUCCUCACUUUUCUUCAGUUUUCUUCUUUCCAGUGCGACUUUGUCUCUGGUUUUCCCGAAGCAAGGCACUCAUUUAUCAGGCUUGCGAGUUCUUACGCAUUGGCAGACUCCGCGGCUUUCCGCUUGGCUCAGGGCUCCCAGCCACCAUAUGGAACGAGUUGCACGUUUUCACUCCUUAUCGCAGUUUAAGAUGGAAAUAUUUCCUUGAUUCUUCUCGGGGUAUUUCUGCAAUUGCACACAUGCUGGGAGCAUUUAACCCUGACAUUGCUGAUGAGUAGCUGUUCCUAUUAAAAUGCCAUCAGAGAUUGAACUGAAAAUCUUUUACAGUGAACUACGCCAGCAGUUUGAUUCUGUUCCUGGUUACAAAUAGUUCCUUUAAUAGUUUUGGAGUUACAUGCAUAUAACAGAGAAGAAUCUGGCUAGCUGUCUAUUUGUCUGUCUGCUUGUCUCUCUAAAGAGACAACUUUGUCUCCGUCUCUGCAUACUGAUCCAGUUUUGCUGUAGGGCUGCUGUAGCUGCGAUAGUCUAAGGAGGUAAGAAAAGUCAUUCCCUCUCCAUCCUGCCUUUAUUAAGCUAGAUGACAGCUGAAGACAGACAAUUUUUCAAUCACAGAUCUUCCAUGCACGAAUCUUCCACUGCUAUGCAUCUAGCUGAGGGAUUUUUUUUUCCUCUCCCAUGCAAUACCAUGCCUCAUACUCAGGGUUUCUUCCAGCACGGGCUACCAGUUGGCACAGUAAGUGGAGUGUGAGCCUAUCAAAGUCAGGAUCAAGGCUCAGAAGGUGUAAAUAUGUGGCUGGCCCAGCACAGGUGAGAGGAAACAAGGUGGGUAAGAUCUCUCCUUGUGCUCUCUCAGCAGGCGCAGCCCCAUUUUCUGUUUUAACAUCACUUCCAAAGUCUUUCCUCAUUAGAUAUUCAAGCCUAGAAGCUCUUGGCAUGUGCUGAGUUACACAUCUUGGGUAGGCUGAGAAGGAAGGAUGAAGUCAUAAAUCCACUUUCAGAGAAGAGCUGCAGCAAAAUUUAGAGCCUAAAUAUGCCGCAAGGUCUAUUUUUUGCAGGGUGCAAACUCCAGUGCCUCUUUUUCAGCAUCUCUGUCAAGGAGGUAAAGAACUUCCACAAUUUCCCACAACAAAGGCUGGAGUCUGGAUCCAUUCAGCCUGCAUUGCGUUUGACAGCUUGCUGCAGCUCAAAUACAGCACUGGGUUCUGCAAGAACGGACUUUUCACACUUGUCAAUUCUGCUUUUCUCAUUGCGAUUUCUGGACGUGUAAAGACUAGCUCAUUAUUAUCCCAAAACUCAGUCCACAGUGGUGGAAUACAUAGGCCUUCAGUGGGAAGGGAAUUGAAUAUGACUUUAAGGUUAAGGAAGGCUGCCAGAAGGUUGUAAAGCAAUAUUAUAAAUGGAAAGCAGGAUCCAUACAUCUGAGAUUGGAUAUUAGCCCUCCAUUUGGUUAUUCUUGGUCAAGUUCAAUAUUUUCUUCCAUCCUGGCUUUACCUGCUCGUAUGGAUGGCCUUAGAGCAUUUCAAUACGAGCACCGUGUUUUUCCAUCAAGUUCGACAUUGGCUCCAUGCUGAUUUCCAUGUUAGAUCCUCUGGUUCCAGCUUUAGCACCACAAAUUCCAACAUGAGCUUCAACUGCCAGAGCUUCACCUUUACUGAAUGUACAUCACCACCAGUCCCCAAAGUUGCUUAAAAUAAAGGUUUCCAUGGAAAUAAUUGCUGAUACUAGUCUAGGUGUCUUUUUCUUUUCUGUGCCACAUAGCAGGAAAAGAAUCAAUCCUUGUUUUUCAAAAUCCUACUGUAGUUGAAAAACAAAAUGCCUAAAAGAUUGAGAAGGGGGAGGGAGUCUGAUACCCACAUCCAGGAUCCAAAGUUGCCAGUAUAUGAAGCCCCAAUAAGGCUGCAACAGGGGCAGGAAGGUUUUGGCUUCCCUACGCAUCCUGCUGCCUCAUGCUAGAUGGGACAGAUGCACACCAUCCAUUUGUCCACCCACAUUUGCUUGGAUCCAGAGACCGGGGAGGUGGCCAAUACCACGACCUCCAUAGGAUGUGGAAGAUCUGCUCAUGUCCAGAGAGAGUCACUGAGGUUGCUGGCAGAAGACAGGUUGGGUAGAGUUGGUCAAACUCAUUGAAGGACUAGAAAGCAGGAGCCCACUUGUGCCAGCCUUUGAAGCACAUGCACAACCUGUGGCAGAUGCAACUGCACAGCUUCCCCCUUUGGAUCAGAGCUGCAGGAAAGACUGCCUAUAAAUAGCCAAAUCUGCGCUAGCCAAAAGGAUCUUUCCUUCUUUUUGCUUAUAACUAAGGAAUCCGUGAGAGCACUGCAAUCAUGGACCAUGUUGGACACUCAGGCAAAGUCAUAGGAAACAAAAUACAAAACCAUUUGCCAACUCAGCCUCCAUUAUGGGAAGGCCAAGUGUUUUAAAAGUCUCAUUCAGCUUCCCAUGCGCUUGUCUCCUCCCACACCAGCCUGCCCAAUGCAGAGAGGCAGUUGACCAAAGGGAGAUUUUAGGUCGAGUCCCCAGAAAGCAAAUGACAUUUCCCCAUCGUGGUAAGCCUGGAAAGGCACUACGUUAGCAGCAUCCAAGUCAAUUUUUUCCUUAUGUUCAAAGGAAACCCUAGAUAUGUUUUCUAAUUUGCUUUCCAGCCCUUUCAACGAACAGGAGGCUUUGAAAACAUGCUCUGAAAUCUUUCUCUUCAUCUCAAUGCAUCUGUUCUUUUUCUCCUCCAUCUGGACAGCAGCACAGGUACACAGACUAGACCCUGGCCUUUGGCCGACAUGAUCUUUCCAAGUAAUUUUUGGACAUGGAAUGAAAAAUCAGUCCAAAGCUCACUCUGUAAAGGAGUUUUAUUUCCAUUUGAGUCCACUUCAAGGGGCUGCAGUGGGCUUAGUUUUGUUAUUUUUGCUCCCCCUUCCAAAAUAAUAAUGCAGCGAUCCAAAGUUUGGAUUUAGAGGAUAAUCAGACUGUUGCUGAAAAAAAAAAGGGAAUAGCAGAAGCCUCUUCACUUGCAUCUCUAGAGCUGAGUCUUGACCACUAAUUGAACAUGAGAUUAAGUCCUCACUGUCAUUCUCUAAUUCAGAAUCAGACUCCUGGACUGACUUCAGACGACUGCAUUAGGCAGAAAUAAGAGCUGGCAUGGCCAAGUGAUGCUGUUAUCCAUCCAGCAGGAAUAGCAGGGCUCUGGAAGUGACACUGGCUGGUGCAGAGCAAACACCUCUGGCAGGCAAGAUGUGACUGCUGACUGGGAGAAGGUUCAUGGAGUGAGGACAGAGGGCUGAAGUUGACUCAUCCAACACAAGUAAACUUCAGCAAUUAAAAGAUGGUAAGGGGAGAGAUGCUGUUGGCAAGAGGGGAUGAAGAGAUAACCAAUAAGGCAUCACACCAGGUGCUUCAGGAGGGAAAGUAUCAUAUUUACCUGCAAUUAAAAAAAAUAAAACAAAGACACCGGUCCAGGAAGAACAUUUCUGCCAGCUUCCUGAAUGAUCUGAGUUCACUGAGCAGGUGCUUUGGCUUCUUGCAAAGCUCUUUGGAAACUCAUGGAAGGACCAAGCGACCCAAAGUGUGGGAAACAGAAGGAGCCAAGGCAUCCCAGCAGGGCAGCACCGCAAGGAGGUUGGAAAGAAGAGUCCUGAGAUUAGUUUCACCAUCCUCUGCCAGGCACCUUCUUGCCAGUCAGUGGCAGUGACAGCAUUGCCCAGGGGUAGAGGGGCAGGACUGCUGGGUGCACAGCUCCAUUUCCUCCAGGAAUGCUGCCUGGAAAGGCAUGAAAGAAGAGGGACUGGGGAAGGCAAGGGAAGUGAAGCGCAUCCAUGCGUGGAUGAGAAAGUUGGAGCUUGCUUUUCCAAAAUAAAUGCUUGGUCUUCCAAGCCUGACAUCCUGCCUCCCCAGGCAGCCAGGACGUGAUUCCUCCUGUGUAACGAGCCACCCUUUCCACACACAAAAACACUGCUCGGUUCUCCCUUUUCAGGGCCGGAUGGGAGGAAGUCUUUACUGAUGGAUUUGAAGUGGCCGAUGUCUUUUCCAGUCAUGGUAUCAUCCCCCUGUGCAGAAUGCAUAGCCCCUGCCAUGACCUAGAAUUAGAAAAUUUCCUCUUUAAAGGCAGUUUAUUUUUUAUUAUUUUAUAUUUUAUUUCCCCCUCUGAGUUAGGGAGGGGCAUAAGAGGAAGAACAACGUUGGGAUUUUAGCACAGAUUAACAAUUUCAGAUCUGGAUGGAGCUAGUUCUGCUCAAACAUCAGUUGCCUACUCAUUGACCUAUGCAGCAGCAAAUUUUUGCUGCUAGCUCCCCUUUCCCACAGUGUAGUGCCUGCUUUGCAGAGAAGCUGUUCAUGCAUCACUCUUGUUGAUGUCCAGGCUGAAAACUAAUGGUUAAUCCUAGUGCAGCAAGAUUGGGAGCCAGGUCCUAGAAAGAUUUUUGUGGUUUCUACACACAGCCACCCCUUUUUUUUUUUUCUCAUGAAUUGCCUUUCAAGUUCAUCUCUGAUGGCAAGCAAAACCAAAAAUAUUU
rnacentral:lncRNA from 1 species